GUCCAGUCCUCUUCUUCCGCUUGCCUACAAGGAUUUCGCUGAGGUUUUUGAAAAUAAGAACUCUGACCACAUCGUUCCUCGAUUGUCCAAUUUACCUGAUUCCUGGUUCCAUUCCUCCUAGGGGAAGAACUUGCCCUUUAUCUGUACUCCAUGCAUGAGUAUAUUUCUGAGAAUCUGUUGAAGGGUUUCAUCAGAAAGUCUACGUCGCCAGCCGGAGCUGGUUUAUUUUUUGUUCAAAAGAAAGAUGGUACUCUUAGACCCUGUAUUGACCUUGUAUUGACUAUCAUGCUUUGAACAAAUUAACGAUUAAGAAUCGUUAUCCUUUGCCUCUAAUACCCAAAUUGUUUGAUACAUCAAUGAUGUAAUAUGUGCAGACUUGUGUUAUAGUUUAACUGUACAAUAUUUUGGUGUACUCCUCCUCAAUGUCUGAGCAUAUCUCUCUAGUGAAACAAGUUUUAACUAAGUUGAAGGAGAAUUCUCUUUAUGCCAAGCUUGAAAAAUGUGAGUUUCACAAAUCCACAAUUUCAUUUUUGGGGUACAUCAUUUCUUCUUCCCGUGAAGGUCUCAGCUGUCAUAGACUGGCCAAUUCAUAUUGGCUUGAAGGCCAUUCAACAUUUCUUAGGUUUUGCCAAUUUUUAUCGGAAAUUUAAAAAUAACUUUUCCCAGACUGUGGCUCCUAUUACGGCACUCACAAAAGAAAGCCUUUUAAGAAUUCCUGGACUCCUCAAGCACAGGAGGCUUUUUCAACCCUCAAAAAAUUAUUUAGCUCAGCUCCCAUUCUUCGCCAUCUAGAUCCUGCCAGGCCAUUUAUUCUCGAGGUUGAAGCUUCCGAGGUAGGGGUUAGUGCCAUUCUGUCUCAACAAACAGGGUUUCAAGGGUCUCUUCAUCCUUGUGCCUAUUUUUUCUCAUAGACUGUCCCCUGCUGAGAGAAACAGUGAUGUGGGGAAUCGUGAACUGCUGGUCAUUAAGCUUGCUUUGGAGGAGUGGCGCCAUCUGCUUGAGGGGGCUAAAGAACCGAUUACCAUUCUUACGGACCACAAGAACCUUGAAUAUAUUUCUUCGGCCAGGAGGCUUAAUCCUCAUCAGGCCUUCUGGGCUUUGUUCUUUUCCCAAUUUAACUUUCUAAUUUACUUUUGGCCUGGUUUUAAAAAUACGAAGGCGGAUGCCUUAUACAGAUCUAAGAAGUGCUGGGAGAUCUGCUCCCUCCCUUACCUCCCGGCGCGUCUCUCUGCAGUUUAGGGUGUGCAGGCACAGACUUCCGAGCUUGGCUUCCCUUGAUGCCGGCGUUCGACACCAAUCGUCUUCACGCUGAGCACCAUGAUGUCAUCAUGGAACGCUAGUUUUGAAUCUCUGGUGCCAAAUCUUCUUUAAAAGGCUCCUCCACCAUUUUGAAUAUGCCCAAGCUGGUUCCAGUUCUACUGUUCCUGCCUAAGCGUUUGAUCUAAAUUCCUUUUUGACUCCCACCUGACUUUUGACUCCGAUUAUUGCCGCCCACCUUGAACCUCUUGUCUGAUUCUCGACUAUGUCUCUUCUUCAUCCUUGCUGGUACCUCGUUUAUGGACUUGUUGUGGUCAUGCACUCUUUCUUGUGUUUUCCGCCCCAAAAGGGCAUCGGUAAACACCGGAAUCCGCAGGAUUACCCUGUGCAUUGAGUGUGUACCCACCACCAAGCAAGGUUUCCGAUAACGAGAUUGUUACAGUAUGGCACACACACAGGCAGAGUGUCAUGUCUCCAGCAUAAGCUGUCAUCAUGCUGCUACAUUUCAUUAUUAAUCUUUGACAAACUCCCUUGUUGUAAUUACACAAGGCCAUUUCCUGUAUUUAUUCUGCACCUCCAUAAGGCUUAUGGCAGAAUUGCAUUUGAACUUAUUAGGGUACCGUACUUCCACAAUGUGACCUAGUGCAAUGCCUUGUGGGAGCCAAUACUCCAUUUUACAACUCAUGGUGUGGAAGAAGCACACAGUUUCCAUUCCCUCCUCAUGGUAGCUUCGCUGGUAAGCAAAUAGACUCAAAGUUGCACCAAAUCACCUCCACAGCUGCCAGCACUACCAGGGACAUUUGUGCCAAUAUAUGUGCUGUACAUUGCAGUCUGUACUCAUUUAUGUUUAUAUUGCAUUGUUCAUUGCAAUCCAUUUAUUCUAUUUUCUGUUAUUUCUUACAGUUUCACUUAUUCCCUUUGCCAUCCAGUAAAAUCUACAGACUUCAUUUCUCAGUCUCUUUAUUGGAGUGUGGGGAGGUUUAGCUGCAUGUCGAACUACACACUGCCCCAGGUUAAAACGUAGGGAGGACAGAACAGUGAAACAUUGGCUGCCACAUGGGUGGAUCAAACUGUAGCUUCACAGCAAGAGCAAUAAAUAGGCUCAGCAAAGGCAACUACACAAAUGUAGGGAAACACCUGCCAUUUGCCAGUGCAGUAACCUGCAUACAACUGUACAGCCUGUUUCUGCAAGUCAAUUACCCAGCAAAGCAUAAUGUCCCAAUGUCACAGACAUUAGGGGACAUUAGUCAUUAGUGACCAGAUCCCAAGUUUCGGGCUCCUCUCAAUGUUCAUCUGUUAUUAAUGCUGCUGCCAUCGCCGAUGCAAAAGCUGAAGCAGCAUAGACCCGUGCUGCAUUUGCAGAAAGGAAAAUGGAGACAAAACAGAGAGAGCAUGCUUAGAAGUAGAGAGAGCAUGUCUAGAAGCAUCCCUAGAAAGGCUGGCAAUAGAGAGGGAAGCUGCAGCAACCAUAGCAGAAGCUGAAGCUCUUUAGAGACAGUCAUAUACCCUGACAGUGAAAGACAGAGCAAGGCACCAGAUCUGGAGAUUGAGGCCCAAGACCCACUGCAGCCCGCCUCAGAGUAUGUUCACCAACACUCCAAGCAGGGUACAGACUCAUCUCUAACACAAGAACUAAACCAAGUUUUGACUAGCAGGCUGAACCAAGGAUGCUCUACACUUCUAUAAACCAGCAGCAAGUCACAACUGCAUCAAAGAGACUAUGCUGAUCAAAGUGAUGUUGCUUACAGCACCUACACCAGCCAAGUGCCCAAGCCCAAGACCAGAGACUGGUCUUAACGAGUGCUAUGGCUCAGCAGAGGCAGUAGAAAAUGCACUUUUCAAAAGAAUUGAAGACUUCCCUAAAAUAUCUAAUAAAGGUUACCAAAAACUUAGGGAACUAAGUGACCUGUUAAUGGAACUACAGGUAGCCAAAGCUGAACCGGGACUUGCAACCCUUGACAAAGCAAGGGGUGUUAACCCCAUAGUGCAAAAAUUACCCUACAACUUACAAGAGCGGUGGAUGGCACAUGGGUCAAAAUUCAAAGAGGUGCACAAUGUUACAUUUCCUCCCUUCAGUGUAUUCAUGGACUUUGUAUACCAGCAAGCUAAGAUGAGAAAUGACCCCAGUUUUGAUUUCACUCCAUCAUAUGCCAACCCUAUCAGUACUUAAUACUCGCAAAGCAGCAGUACACAAAAAUAAUGCAUUCUUUAUAGAUUCCUUUCACAGAUCUGCAGAAUCCACUCUCGAGGAGACAAGGAACAAAGAGCCUGGUAAGCAGUGUCCCUUACACCGAAAGUCUCACCCUCUUCUGAAAUGCAGAGCCUUCAGAGAGAAGUCCAUAGAAGACCAAAAAGCCUACCUAGGAAAGCAACAUCUGCUACAAGUGCUGCUCAUUUAGGACUGUAAGGUCAGUGUAAAAGGCACAGAAUAUGACAGCACAUUCACAACAUAGCUUUACACCCUGGGGAAGCCCCAUGGAUUGUAUCUUACACCAAGGGUGUUAGCGAGCAUGGCGGGGAGGAAAGUGACACUGCUACAAACAUACUAGAGGUCACUUCCCAAUGCACAAAAGUCUGCAAAGGAAGCAUGGAUGGCAGAUCCUGCUCCAAAAUUUGCCUGGUCAGAGUGUAUCGACAGGCCAAACAGAUAAAGGCAUUAAGCGCUAUGCAAUCCUGGAUGACCAGAGCAACAGAUCUUUAGCCUGCCCAGCAUUCAAGGGCCCAAGCACUCCUUAUUCUCUAAAAACGUGCAGGAGUUGUCGAGACAGCAGGUAGAAGGGCAUCCGGCUACCGAGUAGAGUCCAUAGAUAGAAAGGUAUGCCUACCCGUGCCAACUAUAAUUGAAUGCAACCAGAUCCCCGAUAAUAGAUAUGAAAUCCCUACACCGGACAUAGCUAUGUACACUUGAAACGCAUAAUCCACUCAAUCACAGAACUUGACCCUAAGGCUCAGAUAAUGCUUUUCCUUGGGAGGGAUAUCCUACAGGUCCACAAAGUGAGAGGCCAGAUAAAUGGCCCUCACAAUGCACCUUAUGCACAAAAGUUAGACCUCGGAAGGGUCAGUAAUAGGAGUUGUUUGCCUGGGAAGUGUACACCAUGUCACAACCAGUUCCUUAUAAAGGAAAAAUCUUACAGCACCAGCUUGGCACACACACCCUUAAACACUUCUGAUGACAACCACACUUGUGCCAGUGACCAAGAUCAUCUAGGGUGCACAGUGUUCCAGAGAACAAGAGAGGAUAACCAUGUAGCAAUGUCUAUUGAGGAUAGACUCUUCUUAGAAAUAAUGGAACAAGGACUAGUUAAGAAUGAUACAAACAGUUGGGUCGCACCUCUGCUCUUCAGGCCCCAGAGGCAACUCCUGCCUAACAACAGAGAGGAAGCCCUUAAACGUUUCUCUUCUCUCAGACAUAACUUCCAAUAGAAAACCUGAAAUGAAAGAACACUUCUCCUUCAUGGGAAAUAUAUUUGAAAAUAGUCAUGCAGAGGUUGCUCCCACCCAUCCUGACACAGAGGAAUGCUGGUACUUAACAAUAUUCUGAGUAUACCACCCAAAGAAACUAGGGCAGAGUAGAGUUGUUCAAGGUGUUGUAACAUACCAUGGUGGUCUAGUGGAAGGAGGUCUGCAGGGAAGCCUGCAGCCUCCUCGGUUCCUCCAAGCCACAAGCACUCCCUUAGGCGCGUGCAGCACGCUUCUUCCUGGUUUUACUGGUGCAUGCGCGCUGGCGUGAUGACGUCAGCGCGCAGUGGCGCGAAAUUUAAAGGUAUUUAAAGCCACAGAAUCUAUUUUCAUAUUGCCCAUUAUAGGAGUUUGUUCCUGGAGCUGUUAGCAUUGUGCUAUUCUGUAUAUCUUAUCUUGCUCCUGUUUUGACACCUGCCUGGUUAUUCGACGAUCCUGACCUCUGUAAUCCGACCCUUGCCUGUUGUCUGACUCCGAUCCUGCUAAAUCCCUUCUGAUUGAUCACCCAGUUUUAACCUUGCCUGUCUGACUACGUUUGCUCUCUGCCUGCCCCGACCCGGCUUGAUUUGACUACGAUCCUGUCCUAAGUCAUGUACUAUGACCUUCUGCCCAAAGACUUUGCAAACCGUUGUGCCCCUUGGUCAGAACCCUUUGCCUUGCAUUUCUUGUUUUAAGACCUGGCGGCAUCUGAGUAGCUGAGGGCUCCUCCCGAAGCCAAAGGACGAGACCAGGGUGCUUGGCAUCGGUUCUGACUUUAAGGUGCCAACUGUUACAUUAUAACGGGCCAUGGACGAAGAAGGUCAAGCUGCCGCUGCUCCUUCCACCACAGAAGCGCUACUUACCACUCUACUGCAGCGCCUGGAAGAACAUGAGCAGAGGCAAGAUUACCUUAUGCAAGGUUUUCACAAUGUGACCCACCAUCUGGAUUCUUCUGUACAGUCUUCAGUUCCUGUGGCCGCUCCUGUGGCUUCUCCUUCCAUGCUGGGUAAUGUACCUAAAACCCAUGAACCUAAAAUUGUCUUCCCCGAGAAGUUUAAUGGGGAUAGAACCCAAUUUUUUGUGUUUAAAGAUGCAUGCAAACUCUACCUCAGCUUCUUCCCUCAAUCUUUCACCACUGGCGAGUAAAAAGUGAGGUUUGUAAUGACCCUGUUACAGGGGUGAUCCCCAAAUUUGGGCCCUAAGGCUACCCUCCCCUGAUCCUGCCCACUAUUCCCUAGAGACUUUCUUUAAAACUAUAGCAAUACUCUACGAUGACUUGGAUCGUGCUUUUUCAACGAUUCCACGAUUCGUACUCUGCCUGCCCCGACCCAGCCUGAUUUGACUAUGAUCCUGUCCUACGUCUUGUACUGUGACCUUCUGCCCAAAGACUUUGCAAACCGUUGUGCCCCUUUGGUUGGUCAGAACCCUUUGCCUUGCAUCUCUUGUUUUAAGACCUGGCGCAUCUGAGUAGCUGAAGGUUCCUCCCGAAGCCAAAGGCGGAUGCCACAGGCAGAAGUACGAGCCCGAGACCAGGGUGCUUGGCAUCGGUCCUGACUUUAGGGUGCCAACCGUUACAGGUGUCUCCCUAAACGAUGUUCUCCUAACAGGCCCUGACCUAAACAACAAACUUUUGGGGGUACUCCUUUGUUUCCGCAAAAACUUUAUUGCUGACACACAACAAAUGUUCCAUGGUUUUCUUGGUUCAGAGAUAAUGAUCCUUCUAAAGACAUCGCAGAGUAUUGCAUGAGGGUGCACAUCUUUGGUAACAGUCCUUCACCUGCAGUCGAAAUCUACAGGCUCAGAAGCUCUGCUCAGGAAUGUGAGGUAGAGUAAGGGUCAGAUGUCGCACAAUUGGUAGAAAGAGACUUCUAUGUGGAUGACUACUUAAAAUCCUUACCCUCAAGUGAAGCUGCAAUCCGUAUUCUCAAAAGGGCACAGGAAGCACUUGCCUGAUCCAACCUCAGGCUUCACAAAUAGCUUCUAACAGAAAAGCAGUGAUGGAAGCCUUCUCUUCCCAAGACCAUUCAAAUGAUCUAAGAGACCUAGACUUAGGGGCUGACCCUUUACCAGUGCAACUGAUCCUUGGGCUUCUGUGGUAUUUCUGAUGCUUCUGUCAAAGCCAUAGCUGCCGUUGCAUACCUUAAGACUGUGGAUAUCUAUGGACAAUGUCACAAUGGGUUUGUUAUGGGCAAGGCAAAACUGGCACCAAUUCCUGAACACACUAUAACCAGACUAGAACUAUGUGCUGUGGUUCUAGCUGUAGAGCUAGCUGAGCUUAUCAUAACUAGGCCAGGAAAGGUAGUCUUGGGUUAUAUCUAUAAUGAAACCAGUCGGUUUUAUGUUUAUGUCAGAGUACUCAGAAUCAGGAGAGCUACAUGUCCAGAACAGUGGCACUAUGUACCCAUGGCCUACAACCCUGCAGACCACGCAACCAGAGCUGUUGCUGCAAGUCAGCUCAAAGACACAACUUGGCUCACAGGACCUGCCUUUUUGCAUAUAACAGAACAAACUGUUUCUGAGACUGAAGCAUUCGAGCUAGUGGAUGCUAAUUCAGAUGCUGAAAUUCGUCCUCAAGUGUCAACGUGACUGCUGAUAACCAACUCAAAUCCAGCAGAUUUAAAAAGUUCUCAACUUGGAAAUCACUUGUUAGAGCUAUCACCUGUCUAGCCGACAUAGCUCACUCUUUUAAACAUAUUUCGUCGAAAGAUGUAAGUACUUGCAAAGGAUGGCAUCACUGUAAGAAUGCCUACAUAGUGGCAGAACUUCAGCAAUCAAAAAAGUCAUCAUCCGCACUGUGCAAUAUGAAGUCUAUCCUAGAGAGAUCAAUUGCAUCACAAAAAAACAAACUUGUCCCUAAAGACAGUCCUUUGAGGAAGCCUUACCCAUUCCUUGACCAAACUGGCCUAUUGAGAGUAGGAGGCGAUCUUGCAAACACCUUCUCGGACAGAUGGAGAAAGCAAUAUAUCUCCACUUUGCAACCACAAAACAAAUGGCAAACUACAAAACCAAACCUCAAAUCUGGUGAUGUUGUUCUCGUGAAAGACUGUCAAUCACAGAGAAAUGAAUGGCCCUUAGGUCUUGUCACCAAAACAUUUCCAAGGGACGAUGGAAGAGUCCGCAAAGUCUAGGCCAAAACCUCCAAACAAGGGAAAACAAAAUUUUUCCAGUUUCUGAACUGACUUUACUUAUCUCCUGAAGAAUAAAGUGGUGGCAUCUAUAGAUACCAGAAGUGUCAUGUCUCCAGCAUAAGCUGUCAUCAUGCUGCUACAUUUCAUUAUUCAUCUUUGACGAACUCCCUCCGCUGGAUGCUUGUUGUAACUACGCAAGGCCACUUCCUGUAUUUAUUCUGCACCUCCAUAAGGCUUAUGGCAGAAUUGCAUUUGAACUAAUUGGGUUGCUGUACUUCCACCACGUGACCUAGUUCAAUGCCUUGUGGGAGCCAAGAUUCAAUUUUACAACUCAUGGUGUGGAAUAAGCACACCGUUUCCACCCCCUCCUAAUUGUAGCAUUGCUGGUAAGCAAAUAGACUCAAAGUUGCACCAAAUCACUUCCACAGCUGCCAGCACUUCCAGGGACAUUUGUGACAACAUAUGUGCUUUACAUUGCAGUUUGUACUCAUAUAUGUUUAUAUUGCAUUGUUCAUUGCAAUCCAUUUAUUCUAUUAUUUAUAUAUAUUUAUAUUAUUGUUACAGUUUCACCUAUUCCCCUUGCCAUCAAGUAAAAUCUACAGACUUCAGUUGUUCAUUUUGAUGGCCUGGACUCUACCCAACCACGAGAGCUGUAACUUUCCCCACUUCUCUAGUAGUUUUUGAAGUGAAUUCAGUAGUGGGAGAUAGUUAUCCUUAUAUGUUUUCCCAAGGUUAGCUUGGAUGCUGACAAAUAGGUAUUUGAUACUUGGGUUGGCCCAUUUGAAUGAAAAGCUUUGUCUUAGUGUUCUGGCUGAGGUUUCUGCAAUAUUGAUGUUUAGAAUUUAAGAUUUUGAAAGGUUUACUGUAAAACUUGAUAAUUUUCCAAAUAUUUUCAUUAGAUCAAGUAUGUUUGGUAAAGAUAUAGUGGGUUUGUUGACACACAUCAGUAAGCCAUCAACAAAGGUUGCACAUUUGUAUUCUGUCCCAGCCACUAAGGGGCCUGAUACAUUGGGGUUGUUUCUAAUAUGAUCUAGAAGGGUCUCCAUAACUAGGACGAAGAGAAUUGGGGAUAAAGGGUACCCCUGUCUGGUCCCGUUUAGUAUCCUAACUCUUGGGGAGAGAGUACCAUUUAUUUUUAUUCUUGCAGUCGGGUUGUUAUAUAGUGCCAUAAUCCUCUGAUUUUUUCUCCUACACCAAAACCUUUUAACGUCCUAUCCAGAUACGACCAGGACACCCUGUCAAAGGCCUUUUCGGCGUCUGUGGUGAGGAAUGGUGGGAAUACCUUUGUCUUGUACAUGUCGGAUCAGGUAGUAUUAUCUUUUCCUUCUCUUCCAGGGAACAAAACCCGCUUGGUCUGGAUGGAUCAGAUAAGAUCACAUAAAGAAAAAGAAGAAAUACAUUGGUACAUAUCCAUUUUGGGGAGUGCACAGCAUUAUCAUACAAUAUAUACCAGAAUAUGGACCGACAGUAUUUGUGAUAAACAUAGAAUAGACAUAAGAAAUUAAAUAAAUAAUAAAAAAUUUAAAAAUUAACACCUAAAAAAAGGAAAAAGAAAAAAACAUCAUGUGGUACAAUGCGCUCCAGUUCGCCCCAGGGAACCGGUAUAGCCUCCCAAUAUUUCCACUUUUGGCUUCAUGAUGUGGCAACUUUACCAGAUGCGAGGUUGCUACCCAUUGCUAUCAAGUUACCCCUAAGCAUGCAUUUUAAUGUCUCCCACAAGGAGGCGGGGGAAAUCUCUGUAGACCUGUUUAGCUGAACUGUUUCUUUAACCCAGCCCUGGAUCUCCCUUCUUCUAUCCUCAGAGUAUAAUAAAAAGUCAUUAAAUGUCAGUUGGACUCCUGUUUUGAUGUUUGUGGGAUUUUAAAUGUUGUUGUUAUUGGGGAGUGGUCUGAAAUGAAGGAUGUUCUGAUUUCAGCCUGGGAAAAUAAAUAAAGCCAAUGCUGUUAUACAAAAAUAAAAUCAAUUUGAAUAAACAUUGUGUUUUGGGAAAAUGUGUGAAGUCUCUUUCUGAGGGGUUUAUUACCUUCCAUAUAUCUACUAGGUGUAAGUCUCUUGAAAGUUGUUUCAGAUCCUUA